rnacentral:rRNA from 1 species
UGGGGAAUUUUGGACAAUGGGCGAAAGCCUGAUCCAGCAAUGCCGCGUGUGUGAAGAAGGCCUUCGGGUUGUAAAGCACUUUUGUCCGGAAAGAAAUCCUUGGCUCUAAUACAGUCGGGGGAUGACGGUACCGGAAGAAUAAGCACCGGCUAACUACGUGCCAGCAGCCGCGGUAAUACGUAGGGUGCAAGCGUUAAUCGGAAUUACUGGGCGUAAAGCGUGCGCAGGCGGUUUGCUAAGACCGAUGUGAAAUCCCCGGGCUCAACCUGGGAACUGCAUUGGUGACUGGCAGGCUAGAGUAUGGCAGAGGGGGGUAGAAUUCCACGUGUAGCAGUGAAAUGCGUAGAGAUGUGGAGGAAUACCGAUGGCGAAGGCAGCCCCCAUGGGCCAAUACUGACGCUCAUGCACGAAAGCGUGGGGAGCAAAACAGGAUUAGAUACCCUGGUAGUCCACGCCCUAAAACGAUGUCAACUAGUUGUUGGGGAUUCAUUUCCUUAGUAACGUAGCUAACGCGUGAAGUUGACCGCCUGGGGAGUACGGUCGCAAGAUUAAAACUUCAAAUGAAUUGACGGGGUCAUAGCUGUUUCCU